rnacentral:rRNA from 1 species
CUUCCAUCUGGAAGAAGUCUGGAGACAGGUGCUGCAUGGCUGUCGUCAGCUCGUGUCGUGAGAUGUUGGGUUAAGUCCCGCAACGAGCGCAACCCUUGCCUUUAGUUGCCAGCAGUUCGGCUGGGCACUCUAAAGGGACUGCCGGUGUUAAACCGGAGGAAGGUGGGGAUGACGUCAAGUCCUCAUGGCCUUUAUGACCAGGGCUACACACGUACUACAAUGGCCGAUACAAAGGGCAGCGACACUGCGAGGUGAAGCCAAUCCCGUAAAAUCGGUCUCAGUCCGGAUUGGAGUCUGCAACUCGACUCCAUGAAGUUGGAAUCGCUAGUAAUCGUGGAUCAGCAUGCCACGGUGAAUACGUUCCCGGGCCUU